rnacentral:rRNA from 1 species
AUACAGAGGGGGCUAGCGUUGUUCGGAAUUACUGGGCGUAAAGGGCGCGUAGGUGGCCUGUUAAGUCGAACGUGAAAUCCCCGGGCUCAACCCGGGAACUGCGUCCGAGACUGGCAGGCUCGAAUCCGGGAGAGGGAUGUGGAAUUCCAGGUGUAGCGGUGAAAUGCGUAGAUAUCUGGAGGAACACCGGUGGCGAAGGCGGCAUCCUGGACCGGUAUUGACGCUGAGGCGCGAAAGCCAGGGGAGCAAACGGGAUUAGAUACCCCGGUAGUCCUGGCCCUAAACGAUGAAUGCUUGGUGUGGCGGGUAUCGAUCCCUGCCGUGCCGAAGCUAACGCAUUAAGCAUUCCGCCUGGGGAGUACGGUCGCAAGGCUGAA